UACGUAGGGUGCGAGCGUUAAUCGGAAUUACUGGGCGUAAAGCGUGCGCAGGCGGUUCGUUGUGUCGGUGGUGAAAUCCCCGGGCUUAACCUGGGAAUGGCCAUGGAAACUGGCGAACUGGAGUGUGGCAGAGGGGGGUGGAAUUCCGCGUGUAGCAGUGAAAUGCGUAGAGAUGCGGAGGAACACCGAUGGCGAAGGCAGCCCCCCUGGGCUAACACUGACGCUCAGGCACGAAAGCGUGGGGAGCAAACAGG
rnacentral:rRNA from 1 species